rnacentral:rRNA from 1 species
GACGAACGCUGGCGGCGUGCCUAAUACAUGCGAGUAGAACGCUGAAGGAGGAGCUUGCUCUUCUGGAUGAGUUGCGAACGGGUGAGUAACGCGUAGGUAACCUGCCUGGUAGCGGGGGAUAACUAUUGGAAACGAUAGCUAAUAACGCAUAACAGUAGAUGUUGCAUGACAUUUGCUUAAAAGGUGCAAUUGCACCACUACCAGAUGGACCUGCGUUGUAUUAGCUAGUUGGUGGGGUAACGGCUCACCAAGGCGACGAUACAUAGCCGACCUGAGAGGGUGAUCGGCCACACUGGGACUGAGACACGGCCCAGACUCCUACGGGAGGCAGCAGUAGGGAAUCUUCGGCAAUGGACGGAAGUCUGACCGAGCAACGCCGCGUGAGUGAAGAAGGUUUUCGGAUCGUAAAGCUCUGUUGUAAGAGAAGAACGAGUGUGAGAGUGGAAAGUUCACACUGUGACGGUAUCUUACCAGAAAGGGACGGCUAACUACGUG